AAACGACUCUCGGCAACGGAUAUCUCGGCUCUCGCAUCGAUGAAGAACGUAGCGAAAUGCGAUACUUGGUGUGAAUUGCAGGAUCCUGUGAACCAUCGAGUCUUUGAACGCAAGUUGCGCCCGAAGCCAUUCGGCUGAGGGCACGUCUGCCUGGGCGUCACG
rnacentral:rRNA from 1 species